GAUGAACGCUGGCGGCGUGCCUAAUACAUGCAGGUCGAGCGAACAGACGAGAGUGCUUGCACUCUCUGACGUUAGCGGCGGACGGGUGAGUAACACGUGGGUAACCUACCUAUAAGACUGGGAUAACUUCGGGAAACCGGAGCUAAUACCGGAUAAUAUUUAGCUUCGCAUGACGCAAUAGUGAAAGACGGUUCUGCUGUCACUUAUAGAUGGACCCGCGGUGUAUUAGCUAGUUGGUGAGGUAACGGCUCACCAAGGCAACGAUACAUAGCCGACCUGAGAGGGUGAUCGGCCACACUGGGACUGAGACACGGCCCAGACUCCUACGGGAGGCAGCAGUAGGGAAUCUUCCGCAAUGGGCGAAAGUCUGACGGAGCAAUGCCGCGUGAGUGAAGAAGGUUUUCGGAUCGUAAAACUCUGUUGUAAGGGAAGAACAAGUACGUUAGUAACUGAACGUACCUUGACAGUACCUUACCAGAAAGCCACGGCUAACUACGUG
rnacentral:rRNA from 1 species